rnacentral:tRNA from 1 species
AUUAUCUUGGCAGAUUAGUGCAAUUGAUUUAGGAUCUUUAAAUGUAUUUAUACAGAUAAUA